UACGAGGGGUGCAAACGUUAUUCGGAUUUAUUGGGUGUAAAGGGUGUGUAGGCGGUUUAUUAAGUUCGUUGUUAAAUCUUUCGGCUCAACCGGAAGCUUGCGGUGAAAACUGAUAGACUAGAGGAUGAAAGAGAGGAGUGGAAUUCUCGGAGUAGCGGUAAAAUGCGUAGAUCUCGAGAGGAACACCGAUGGCGAAAGCGGCUCCUUGGUUCAUUCCUGACGUUGAAACACGAAAGCGUGGGGAGCAAACAGG
rnacentral:rRNA from 1 species